GGAGGCCCGUGGCCCCCAGGUGGCCUCGAUGGAUGCUGUUGUGACAUUUCGGGCUACUUCGAACUGCUUUUCACUCCGCCUCGGUCACAGAUUUAUUACGUUCACGUAGCAAGCGGCAUGAAGUAAUAAUGCUGUAAAUUGAAUGCCAAGAACGAACCAUGUCUGGAACGAGGCGCAAUCUAACGUUUGAUUGACAGCGGUGAAAGAUAUUUUCAGAGAAACCUUUCUACGGAUGAACUUAAAGACAUUAACCGUACUUUGGGUCGCAUAAUAGCGUUUGCUAUUCAACGUUUGGCACACGGCCAAAAGUCUCUCGAAAUAGGUGACUACCAUACGAUGCAUAUGCAUGUACUUAUGAACUUUUGCACAUUGAUGCAGAAAAGAAGAUGUAUAUUUGCACAUAAUCGUCAACAUAUUAAACAUUAUAAAAUGACGACAGGCAAGAUAGCACGGCAGGCAAUAUACAUACAGCAGCAUCUGAAAUAAAAUCUCGGCAGCA